rnacentral:misc_RNA from 1 species
AACAUUUGUUGUCUAUAAACAGACUAGAAUAUUUGGACAAAUUCCUCUGUGAAAGGGUCCCCUGCAGCUCUGAAAUUCUUCAGUUCCUCAUAAAGUCUUAAUGUAUCUAUUCCAUUCAAUCCUACUUUACUCUUCAAAUUGAAGUGCUACAAGAAUCACCAAUUGACAACCCCGAGCUCGUUUUAGGCAUUUCUCUAAAGCAGCAAGGAAAUCCAAACUUAUUUCUAAAUUCUGCUGCAUACACGUUUCUUAUAUCAUUGUGGUUGGAGAUUAAACACACACACUCUCUCUCUCAUUUGAGUUAUAGGAGAACUUGGUUGUAAGAAAACCGUAGGCAUGUGAUGAUUAGUGUUAGGAA